rnacentral:rRNA from 1 species
CUGGCGGCGUGCCUAAUACAUGCAAGUCGAGCGGACCGACGGGAGCUUGCUCCCUUAGGUCAGCGGCGGACGGGUGAGUAACACGUGGGUAACCUGCCUGUAAGACUGGGAUAACUCCGGGAAACCGGGGCUAAUACCGGAUGCUUGAUUGAACCGCAUGGUUCCAAUCAUAAAAGGUGGCUUUUAGCUACCACUUACAGAUGGACCCGCGGCGCAUUAGCUAGUUGGUGAGGUAACGGCUCACCAAGGCGACGAUGCGUAGCCGACCUGAGAGGGUGAUCGGCCACACUGGGACUGAGACACGGCCCAGACUCCUACGGGAGGCAGCAGUAGGGAAUCUUCCGCAAUGGACGAAAGUCUGACGGAGCAACGCCGCGUGAGUGAUGAAGGUUUUCGGAUCGUAAAACUCUGUUGUUAGGGAAGAACAAGUACCGUUCGAAUAGGGCGGCACCUUGACGGUACCUAACCAGAAAGCCACGGCUAAC